rnacentral:rRNA from 1 species
GACGAACGCUGGCGGCGUGCUUAACACAUGCAAGUCGAGCGGUAAGGCCCUUUCGGGGGUACGACGAGCGGCGAACGGGUGAGUAACACGUGGGUGACCUGCCCUUAGCUCUGGGAUAAGCCUGGGAAACUGGGUCUAAUACCGGAUAUGACUCCAUGACGCAUGUUGUGGGGUGAAAGCCUUGUGCGGCUAGGGAUGGGCCCGCGGCCUAUCAGCUUGUUGGUGGGGUGAUGGCCACCAAGGCGACGACGGGUAGCCGGCCUGAGAGGGCGACCGGCCACACUGGGACUGAGACACGG